UACGUAGGCAGCGAGCGUUGUUCGGAGUUACUGGGCGUAAAGAGUGCGUAGGCGGUUUUCUAAGUUUGGUGUGAAAUCUCCCGGCUCAACUGGGAGGGUGCGCCGAAGACUGGAAGGCUUGAGUAUGGGAGAGGUAAGCGGAAUUCCUGGUGUAGCGGUGAAAUGCGUAGAGAUCAGGAAGAACACCCGUGGCGCAAGCGGCCACCUGGCAGAGCACUGACGCUGAGGCACGAAAGCGUGGGUAGCGAACCGG
rnacentral:rRNA from 1 species